CCCGGAAGUGGAAAUCUCAGCCAUUCAGCAUUUGGGUGAAGACGGAGAUUUGCCUGAGGUUGACUGUACAUACAAAUAUUGAGCAUUUCCUCCUGGCCUCCGUGAUAAACAGAAGUUUUGAUAUUGUUAGGCGAGAUGGAAAGAAAGUAUCAAGGAGUGAGCUGAAGCCACUGCCCUUGAGAACCCUCUCGAGGAGUCUGGCCUCAUGAAGAUGCCAGAAUAAAUGGCAGGUAUAUCCUGAAUGAAUGUGAGAUUUUUACUCUGUGAAUUUCCUAUGAGGAGUGUAAGAAGAAAAAGAGCAAAGAUAAGAAGAGAAAAAGAGAAG
rnacentral:lncRNA from 1 species